UGAGGAAUAUUGGUCAAUGGUCGAGAGACUGAACCAGCCAAGUCGCGUGAAGGAUGACUGCUCUAUGGGUUGUAAACUUCUUUUACAAGGGAAUAAAAUGAGAUACGUGUAUUUUAUUGCAUGUACUUUGUGAAUACGCAUCGGCUCACUCCGUGCCAGCAGCCGCGGUAAUACGGAGGAUGCGAGCGUUAUCCGGAUUUAUUGGGUUUAAAGGGUGCGUAGGUGGGCUGUUAAGUCAGCGGUGAAAGUUUGUCGAUUAACGGUAAAAUUGGCGUUGAAACUGGUAGUCUUGGGUAUAGAUGAAGUAGGCGGAAAGCGUGGUGUAGCGGUGGAAUGCAUAGGGAUCACGCAGAACUCCGAUUGCGAAGGCAGCUUACUAAGGUAUAACUGACACUGAAGCACGAAAGCGUGGGUAUCAAACAGG
rnacentral:rRNA from 1 species